rnacentral:rRNA from 1 species
GAUGAACGCUGGCGGCGUGCCUAAUACAUGCAAGUCGAGCGAACGGACGAGAAGCUUGCUUUUCUGAUGUUAGCGGCGGACGGGUGAGUAACACGUGGAUAACCUACCUAUAAGGCUGGGAUAACUUCGGGAAACCGGAGCUAAUACCGGAUAAUAUUUUGAACCGCAUGGUUCAAAAGUGAAAGACGGUCUUGCUGUCACUUAUAGAUGGAUCCGCGCUGCAUUAGCUAGUUGGUAAGGUAACGGCUUACCAAGGCAACGAUGCAUAGCCGACCUGAGAGGGUGAUCCGCCACACUGGAACUGAGACACGGUCCAGACUCCUACGGGAGGCAGCAGUAGGGAAUCUUCCGCAAUGGGCGAAAGCCUGACGGAGCAACGCCGCGUGAGUGAUGAAGGUCUUCGGAUCGUAAAACUCUGUUAUUAGGGAAGAACAUAUGUGUAAGUAACUGUGCACAUCUUGACGGUACCUAAUCAGAAAGCCACGGCUAACUACGUG